GGAGAGAUGGUCGAGCGGUUUAAGGCUCCGGUCUUGAAAACCGGCGUGGUAAUACCACCGAGGGUUCGAAUCCCUCUCUCUCCU
rnacentral:tRNA from 1 species